GAUGAACGCUGGCGGCGUGCCUAAUACAUGCAAGUCGAGCGAACGGACGAGAAGCUUGCUUCUCUGAUGUUAGCGGCGGACGGGUGAGUAACACGUGGAUAACCUACCUAUAAGACUGGGAUAACUUCGGGAAACCGGAGCUAAUACCGGAUAAUAUUUUGAACCUCAUGGCUCAAAAGUGAAAGACGGUCUUGCUGUCACUUAUAGAUGGAUCCGCGCUGCAUUCGCUAGUUGGUAAGGUAACGGCUUACCAAGGCAACGAUGCAUAGCCGACCUGAGCGGGUGAUCGGCCACACUGGAACUGAGACACCGUCCAGACUCCUACGGGAGGCAGCAGUAGGGAAUCUUCCGCAAAGGGCGAAAGCCUUACGGAGCAACGCCGCGUGAGUGAUGAAGGUCUUCGGAUCGUAAAACUCUGUUAUUAGGGAGGAACAUAUGUGUAAGUAACUGUGCACAUCUUGACGGUACCUAAUCAGAAAGCCACGGCUAACUACGUG
rnacentral:rRNA from 1 species